UGGCUCGACGUUGCCGAAGAGUUUUUGUGUGAAAGCUCUGCAUAAAUGGCGGCUCAUCCCAUUAAGAUCUUGUAUCUCUUUCCCGCCUUAUUCUUACCUCUCUUCGCCGUCUGCGAAGUCGCUUCGUUCGCUCGUUCAAGUAACGAUGUGUUGAUCGAUGAUUUGCUGGAAAUCAAGCUCAGGAUCUCUCGCUUAGAAUCCGUUCUGGAGGGAAGCAGGCAAAAUUUAACCGAGAAAGGCAAUGAAAUUGUGGCGCAGGAAAGGUUAAUUGAGGCUAUGUCUCAUAAGAUUCAAUACUUGGAGUCGGCUCUAUUUGAUAUGAAGAGGAAAACAUUAAGUCAUGAUGAAAGGAUUGCUGCUCUAGAGGAUGAGGUACGACUUCUCUGGGCUGUAUUAAGAAAGAACAACUUUGAUAUUCAUCUUUUGAAAGUCAAGGCACAUGAAGCUGAGGAAAAACUUGAAGAGGUUACCUCACAAGUUGAGAAGAUGUCUAGCAUAGUAUCUGAACAGUGGAUUCAUAUUCGGCAUCUAGAGCAGGCCCUUGAAAUAACAAAAAUAAAUGCUUUGAAGGUCCGCCAGCAAGUUGCCCUAACCAGAUGCACCUUUUUAAAGUUGGUCAACACACGUUUUAUCAAUCAACUUCAGAAGGCCCUACAGACAUUGAACUAUCAUCUGUUCAGCAAAGUGCCUACCUUGAGUUCCAUGGUUACAGGAGCCAUCCAAUACUUCCAAGGAGUCUAUGAAGAAGCCAAAAAGUAUCACCAUGAGUUACAAAGACUGAUCAAACAAGAAAUGGAAAGAAGGGACUAUGCAGCAUAUCUUGUAAACAGGGAAGUUAUUUUCUUUCUGGCGUCUGCUAUAGUUACCUUCCCAAUUUUUGGUGCUUGGAUGUUCCUCUCUUCAUGGUUUUCCAGGUGAAAGAGUAAUCAGUGAGAAAAGAGGGCUAGAGAUCCGGGCACCUUCAACACAAAGCUUGGCUCCAGUGACCACCCAGUAUCCAGUCAAAGGUGGACCAUCGGGAUAAACAGCCGAGUUCAAUUCAAUUUUUGGUUGCGC